rnacentral:rRNA from 1 species
ACGGGGUGCAGCAGGCGCGAAAACUUUACAAUGCUGGAAACAGCGAUAAGGGGACCUCGAGUGCCAGGUUACAAAUCUGGCUGUCGUGAUGCCUAAAAAGCAUUGCAUAGCAAGGGCCGGGCAAGACCGGUGCCAGCCGCCGCGGUAACACCGGCGGCUCGAGUGGUAACCGUUAUUGUUGGGUCUAAAGGGUCUGUAGCCGGCCGGGUAAGCCUCUUGGGAAAUCUGGCAGCUUAACUGUCAGGCUUUCAGGAGAUACUGUCUGGCUCGAGGCCGGGAGAGGUGAGAGGUACUUCAGGGGUAGGGGUGAAAUCUUGUAAUCCUUGAAGGACCACCAGUGGCGAAGGCGUCUCACCAGAACGGACCUGACGGCAAGGGACGGAAGCUAGGGGCACGAACCGGAUUAGAUACCCGGGUAGUCCUAGCCGUAAACGAUACUCGCUAGGUGUCGGCAACGGUGCGACCGUUGUCAGUGCCGUAGGGAAGCCGUGAAGCGAGCCACCUGGGAAGUACGGCCGCAAGGCUGAAACUUAAAGGAAUUGGCGGGGGAGCAC